rnacentral:sRNA from 1 species
GUUUUUAGUAGAGACGGGGUUUCACCAUAUUGGCCAGGAUGGUCUCAAUCUCCUGACCUCGUGAUCCACCCGCCUCGGCCUUCCAAAGUGCUGGGAUUACAGGCAUCAGCCACUGCGCCUGGCCGGCCUUGCUUUUUAGAGACAGUUGAGAUGAGAGAAGACUUGGUAAGGGCAAACGGGCUUGCAUGCCAGUUCUUUGGGUCCUGGACCACCUUUGAAAAUAUGCAAAGCUCUGUACACUCUCAGAGAAGUAUGCAUAUAUGCAGAGUUUGGUUUAUAGUUUUCUAUACUUCACUGUCUCUGAGGGCAGUCUUUUUGCCCUGUGUUAGCCUUGGAUUAGAGGGUAACAACAAUCAUGUAAGGCUGUGGUUCUCAAGUGUGGUGUUAGAAGUGCUCAUCAUCAGGUUCCACCUCAGAAACAGAUUGGGACCCAGCUAUCUGUGUUUUAAGAAGCUUUCCAGAUGAUUUUUGCCACACUUUAGGGAGAGUCCCCUGAUGAAAUUUAUACUCCUGUGUGGUCCUUAUGCUUCACACAUCCCAUAUUGUGCCUUUGAGAGACCACCUGCCAUCCUCUUGUUGUGACAGUACUCUAUUCCUCCUAGGCUAUGUCUUGCCCAGCCAUGUGACUGAGGAGAUGCUAUGGGAGUGCAAGCAGCUUGGGGCUCACUCCCCCUCCACCUUGCUGACCACCCUCAUGUUCUUUAAUACCAAGUAAGUGUUCUAGAGGCUCCACUGCUGGCAUCUGUCCAGUGAAGAGUGUGGAAACUAUCCAAGAGGCCUUCUGAAUUCCUCUGACAUAUAUUUGAGAAACUGGGCUACUGAAAGCCCUAACCCCACUUGGCUGCAUUUUAUUUGGUAACCAGUGAGGCAAACACCCUUGCCAGACCCCUACCAUCCAUCUUGAUGUGGUUCCUGCAUUGGACACUGCUUGGGUAUGGGCCUGCCCAGAUCUUGGGAAUGUGGGCAGUGGCUCCUCUGAAGCACCAGUGGGCAGAGGAUGAGUCAUGGUAUCCUCCCGGCACCCCUCCCUCUGCCUUGCAUUUUACUUGUGAUCCAGGUACUUCCUAUUGAAGACAGUGGACCAGCACAUGAAGCUGGCCUUCUCCAAGGUCUUGCGACAGACAAAGAAGAACCCCUCUAAUCCCAAGGAUAAAAGCACGAGUAUCCGGUACUUGAAGGCCCUUGGAAUACACCAGACUGGCCAGAAAGGUAGGGAAAGGAGGCAGGGAUGGCAAAAACAGGUGCUACUUGUCCUGCCCUGUCCUGCCCUUGUGCCUGUGAGGCUAGUGAUAAGUGUAAAGGUUGGGAUUUGCUGGAUAAAAUUCUCCACUCCCUUCUCCCCAGCCAAAAAUUCCAAACUUUCCUCCUAGAAGCAGAGAAGCCCCAGACAGAAUAGCUGCCUCUUCCCUUAGUAGUCACUGCCCAUGCCUCAUACCUUCCCUCCCCCGACCCUGUAUUUCCUAGUUGGGCUGGCUGAAAGCCUAAGGUUCCUGAUCUGGGCCUGAGGUAAGGCAGUCUGAUGCCAGGUCUGUGGUGGUGGGGAUGUGUGUUUUAUAGUUACAGAUGACAUGUAUGCAGAACAGACGGAAAAUCCAGAGAAUCCAUUGAGAUGUCCCAUCAAGCUCUAUGAUUUCUACCUCUUCAAAUGCCCCCAGAGUGUGAAAGGCCGGAAUGACACCUUUUACCUGACACCUGAGCCGGUGGUGGCCCCCAACAGCCCAAUCUGGUACUCAGUCCAGCCUAUCAGCAGAGAGCAGAUGGGACAAAUGCUGACGCGGAUCCUGGUGAUAAGAGAAAUUCAGGAGGCCAUCGCAGUGGCCAAUGCAAGCACUAUGCACUGAGAUGCCUUGGCCAUGGCACAAGAGAAACCAGCCAGGAAAAACCAGACAGACUUUCACACUAAAGAAGAGGCCUCCAUUUUUUUUUCUUUUUUUUUUAUUGGUGUAGUUACGAAGCCUUUCAGGCUGCUUCUGUUUAAAAUAUAAAAGAAAACUUUGCCCCCUUUGCAUCUUCAUAAACCUGCUGCAGCAGACUCCUCAGCCGAUGGUGGCUCUGGGUUUCCUUGAGUGUCAUAUGUCCUAGAAAGUUGCUGGCUGACUCUUUUUUGUCUGGGGCCUGGGGAAAGGGCUUGGACUGUGAAAAGAAAUGUGGCCCCUUUCCAUCUUCAAGAGAGAUGGAAUUAAUGGUGGAUGGACCCUGCAGGGAAUCUCCCCAGCCAACUUCCACUGGGCUGACAGACUUUGCUGACCACAGGGGAACGAUGUUCUUUUCUUUCUUCAUGCUCAGACAUAAACUUAGCAUCUUAAUGGAAGAAAAAUGAGGGGAACUUCAAUUAUGAUUUAUUAAAGACAAUUUCUAUUAC